GGUGCGAAGAGCCUUGAGAUCAUUCUCAUACAGGGCCAGCACAGCACGGGCACUGGGCACGCCCUCGCUGGUCGUAUCUCUGCUUCUUUAGCCUGCCCAGGGAGCCCUCCAAGGUCUUUGGUUGGUGCCAAGUAGUUCCAGAGGUGCAUAUAUGAGAGUGGUGGUGGCCAACACAUGGACCGUGAAGGGCAGGACAAAGAACCUUGAGAAGGUCAAGGCAAGACCUCUCUAGCCCCUGCCUGGGUUAGCCCCUGCUCUGGGGAACUGGAAGCUCUGGGCCCAGGCUCCAUUCGGACCUCCCAUUUUUCUACCCACAAACACCCCUCCCCAUGGAAUAGUCUGUGCCAGGCUAAGCAGGGCACAGUGCUUGGGCCAAAGGCACACAGAGGAAGUCCCCCCUGGAAAACCUUGGAAGAAAGAAAUGGAUGGCCCCAGAGGACACAGCGAUGAUGCUGACAAUGGACAGAAAACUGCUCAGAGAAAGAUCUUUAUGUGUCAAUGGUAAGACAAAAAAAUGGAAAUACUCGAAAGAUUCAAAACCAGAAAUGGAUUAAGUGGCAGUGGAGUAUUAUGGCUUGGUGAUAAAGACUGCGCAUUCUGGAAUCAGAUGGACCUGGAAGCCUGCUGAGAAAGGAAGAGACCCAAGGGAGUUACUGGAGUUUCAGAGAUCAUAUGAAGAGCUGUGCUUAAGACCGGAAGUUCUGGAGCCAGGCUGUAUGUCAAAGUGCCAACCCUGGACCAUGGUUGGGAGGUCACAGUGAGUCACCUUCUGGCUCAGCAGAAGAAUUUUCUGAUGCUCUAAUAGCUGGUCAAAAGUGGAAUAGAGUUGCCUGGGUCUGGCUCUAUUGCCCAGGCUGGAAUGCAAUGGCGUGCUCUCAGCUCACUGCAACCUCUGCCUCCCAGGCUCCAAUGAUCCUCCCACCUCCGCCUCCCAAGUAGCUGGGACUACAGGCGCAUGUUACCAUGCCUGGCUAAUUUUUUGAAUUUUUUGGUAGAGACAGGGUUUCACUAUGUUGCCCAGGCUAGUCUUGAAGUCCUGGGCUCAAGCAAUCCUCCCACCUCGGCCUCCCAAAGUGCUGGGAUUACAGGUGUGAGCCACCAUGCUGGGGCAAGCCUACUAAUUCGUAUUUCAAGAAGCAAGUGCUAGCGUGUUGUAUGGUUACGUGUACCGCUGAUGAACUCAUGGCAGUAGUAGUGCCAGACUGGGACAAAUGAUGCUGAGGAAAGAGAAAACCCUGGUCAGGCUGGUGGUGUUCACCCCAUCACCCCCACCACCCCAAAAGACAGACAGAUGGACGGGCAAACAUUUUCUCUCCCUCUUACAUAUUGAGUUGCCCCAAACAUCACUACUCUAAUUAUGAACAGAUGCAUGCAGAUUCCUUAAAAUUGGCAGGUCCCACCUCCUGGCAGUGAACCCACACACGGAACUAUUAGACUGGGAUGGAAGACAAUAGGUUGGGAUUGAGGGGGAAUGGUAGGAGAAGGAAGGGGGAGCAGGUCCGGCUUCAGCCCUGGCCAGUGAUACGAGCCCAUCUCCUGCUGUGUUCAACUGGAAACAGGGAAAUGGUUGUGCUGAUGUAUCCAUUCUCAAACUCCCCAGAGAAGGUGGAUAAUAAAUAAGUGACAAUAACAGAUUGCACACUGUCAGCGCGGGCACUUCUUUGCCCCCAGAGAAUUGAUUUUUAAUAACAGCGCAGAUGACAUGUGGCGGGAGUUGUCACUGACACCGGUGUUUUGUGGGCCUCAAUAAAUCACAUCAGCCUGGAGGCUCUGAAAUGGACUAGCUUGUUGGGUGCUGUUUGUGGAUUGCUACUCGGCCCUGGAAUGGCUCCCGGGUCCCAGGAGGCUGGAUUCUGCAACCUACUGACUGCUAGACCUUGGCCAGUUACUUCACCAGUCUGGGCCUCAGUUUCUCCAUGUUUAAAAUGGGCAGAACUGUCUUGGUCUCACAGCAGUGUUGCAAAAGGUUAGACGAAGAAAACUGUCCCAUAAAAUAUGUUGAUCACUAUUAUAGUAAUAAUGAUCUAGAAAGUCAGGAAGUUGAUAGGUUUGGGGGCGGAGUAUCUGGCAUCUCUGUUUUCAUGAAUAGCAUUCAAGGGUGAUAUUCAAAGGACCAAAGGAAUUCAAAGGAAUGUGCUAAUAAAAUAGAAGCAAGAUGGGAAGGCACAAAAAUCAGGUGUUAAUCAGGCCCAGGAUUGGGGGUGGUGGUGGGGUGCCUUCCUGCCCUAGCAAGCUGUGAUAUAAGAAUAAUAACAAGUGAAUAUUUGUUAAGCAUUUACAGUGCCAGAGCUGCACUAAGUACUUCAUAUACAGUAUCUCAUUUAAUCCUCAUAAGACCCUGUGAGGCAAUUACCAUAAUUAUCUGAUUUUAUGGAUGAGAAGACACUCAGCUACCCAUGUGUAGGACAGGGCCAGGCAGGCGAGGAGAGUGGGCCGGCUGUGGAGGCUGCAGCCUGCACAACUCUGUUUAAAGGGGCAGGGCUGCUCAGCCAUGCAGGAAUGCAGGGGUAGGGCCCUGGUACGGCCAGGUCUCUCAAUUUUCCAAAAGAAUAUAGAGAGUGGGAUUUGUGGAAGAAAUCUGAUAUUUAAAUGUUGACAGCUUAUUAAGCUUUGUGUUCUUAAAAAGACACUCUAUGAGCCAACCCCACAAUUGCUAACUAAUAGCUGUCUGUGAGCUGGACGGGGGCCCUGGGUUUCCAGCUUGUGAUCUCUGGGGUAGGAGCUGUUUCCAUGCAGAGGUUCACCAUGCUGCAUUGCCCCUCUGAGGAAACAACUGUCAACAGAAUGAUCAUCGAAACGUGGCUAUGACCACACACUAUGCUCAAUACUAGAGGGUAGAAUACAAUUGCAUAUCCUAAUCCUCACAAAGGAGGUGCUAUUGAUCCCAUUUUACACAUAAAGAAGCAGAAAGUUGAAGGGGCUCAGUGAUUUGCUCAAGGUUCCACAGUGGUAGUGCGCUGGACCCUGGGAAUGGCAGACUCUCAAAGGUAGCUCUCUCUACUCCACUGAGCA
rnacentral:lncRNA from 1 species